AAAUCCCAUAAAGUUGUUCUCAGUUCGGAUUGUAGUCUGCAACUCGACUACAUGAAGCUGGAAUCGCUAGUAAUCGUGGAUCAGCAUGCCACGGUGAAUACGUUCCCGGGUCUUGUACACACCGCCCGUCACACCACGAGAGUUUGUAACACCCGAAGCCGGUGGAGUAACCUUUUGGAGCUAGCCGUCGAAGGUGGGACAAAUGAUUGGGGUGAAGUCGUAACAAGGUAGCCGUAUCGGAAGGUGCGGCUGGAUCACCUCCUUUCUAAGGA
rnacentral:rRNA from 1 species